UUUCCAUGCCACUCACCUCCCCAGUAAAGAAGAAGCUCGAAUUGCAAAGACCCUUCCUGUCUCUGGAACCAUUUCCAUGUGCCUGAGCAAGACAGGCCCCUGCUCAGAGGGGAUCAGCUCUCCCAGGAACCAACUACUGGAGUGAGAGGAGGUUCAAGGGUCCUGGAAAAAGUUCCAACUUUCCUCCUCCCCUUAACACACCUGGGAUGGGGCCCUCACUUGUUCUCACCUACUUUCAGGAACCAGGAAGAGGAGAAAUGUAAAAGGGGGAUCAGAUGGCCAAAAAACCACCAUCAGGCCCUGAGGACUUUCUGAGCACCAACUGUGGGUCUGGGCCUGACCUGGGAGCUUGAGAGGCCAGUACGUGCCAGAGUGGAAGCAGCAGAUCAUGGGGCAAGGAGGGAGCAGGGAGGGGCAGGACAGUAUGUGCCAGCAGCCAGCAGCUUCGGGGUUAUUUCACACCUGCCUUUUCCUUUUCUCUAUUAUGUUAGGUAGGCUAACAGGAACUCUCCUUGUGCCCAUGUUACAGAUGAGAACAGUAAAGCUCAGGAAAGGGAAGUAACCAACCCAAGGUGACUGGCUCUUGACUCCCCCAGUCCAGCAUUCUUCUCUUUAUGGCUUGCUGCCUCUGGAGAAGAAUCAGACGUGAUCCCUGGCCUUGGUUCCCUCCUCAAGCCCCUCAAAUUUUGCAAAGUCUUUGUUAUGGUUUGGCUCUGUGUCCCCACCCAAAACUCAUCUUGAAUGGUAAUCCCCAUAAUCCCCAUAUGUCAAGGGAGGGACCAGGUGGGAGGUGGUUGGAUCAUGGGCAUGGUUUCCCCCAUGCAGUUCUCAUGAUAGUGAGUGAGUUCCCAUGAGAUCUGAGAGUUUCAUAAUGUGGUUUUCCCUGCUCUUUCCCUGCUCUUGCUCACUCUGUCUUGCCUGCCACCAUGUGAGACGUGCCUCUUCCCCUUCUGCCAUGAUUGUUUGUUUCCUGAGGCCUCCCUAGCCACGUAGAACUGUGA
rnacentral:lncRNA from 1 species